rnacentral:lncRNA from 1 species
ACCACUGGGGACACAUCUGCCUAUAGGUAUUAGCGUGAAUGGAGCAUCCGUGCAGCGCGCGUUACAAAUCUCCGGAUGGGGUGGGGGCGGGGAGGGCGGCAACACAACGCAGUACCAGGUGGAGUGGGUGGGUUGCUAUUUUUUACGAUUUUUCUCUCUACAUUCUCCCUCUGACCCCCCCCUCCAUCCAACUCACCCCCCCUUCUCUUCCCUUUCUUCCCCCCCGCCCCCCCCCCCGACCUAUUGCGAUACCCAGAGCCACAGAGGGGAACGCCAACGUCUCGGCCGGACACUAAGAGUUAAGAUGUGGCGGAGGGGGUGGCGGGGGAGGGGCGGGGAGGAGAAAGUGGCGAGCGGGAGGGAGGCGACGGGGCGCGGGGUGGGGUGGGGGGGACGACAGAUUUCCAGCUUCUACGACGCUCUGCCUAAAUUAAAAAGCAACCAAUCGGAACGGCCGGAAGGGGGGCCGCGCGUCCUGAGCCAGUCAUUCCGGGCCUGCCAAUCACCCAGCGGGUAGCCAAUCAGCGGGGACCCUGGUGCUCGACUUCCUUGUAUUUGGGAAAGUGUGGUGGUGGGUGCGCGCUCGCGGCGGAGGGUAAACAUUCGACAGUCCCCGCUCUGAGAGGGAGGGACAGAGAGCGAACUGUCAGAUCCGAGCGGAGCGGGCGGGCGAGAGAGGGAGGGAGAGGGAAAGAGAGAGGGAGAGCGCGCAAACCAGGGCGCAGAGCGAGCUCCCGCGGCAACUCGGCUCCAGCACGGCCAGCGCCAGCGCCGCCGUCGGUGCACCCUCGGAGCCGUGCAUCCUGCCCACUGGAGUUGGUUGUGUAUCAAGGAUCCCCUAUAUGCACACACACACCUCCACCUCCACCAAUGCACUCUUCUUCCUCCUCCUCCUCCAGACCUCUGCUGGGAAAAAAAUAAAACACCAACCCCAACCUUCAGCAGCAAGAGGCAACCAAGAGCUCGGGCAAUAGCAACUUCAGAGAAAUGCACCAUCGCAAGAAGUUUUCCUAGGACAGAACAAAACUUGAAACGCGAGGACCAGAGGGGGAGAGCAGGAGCCAGCCUCUCCUCUCGGCACGCGAGCAGCCAGCAUCACCACGCCUUCAAGGACGAAAAAAGUUUUACUACUCUAAGGGGAGACGAGUGAGCUGCGUUCCUGAGAAGGAGGCGUCAAGGAGCGGCUGGUCGCUGGUCGUCCACGGUUCGGUGAAGAAGAAAGGAGCGGCUUCUUUCUUUGUUGUCCCCCGUGAAAUCUUCACUUAGCAGGUGGACCGAGCCCCGCGCCCGGGCAGGGUCCGCGCUCGCCCGAGGACAGGAGGAGGAGCGCGAGCCGGCGCGCCCGGCCCGGAGCCUCAGCGCAGGCCCGCGCCCCGCCCGGCGAGCCCCACUGGAGCGAGCCGACCGCGCCGGGGCUGGGGGGCGGCCACGACCCCCCCUGAGGGGGGAGGCCACGGAGCGCGCCUCGAGAAGCGAGCCCCCCUCCCCGGAGCGCGGCUCCUGGUGCUGCUGCUGCUGCUGCUGACCAAGGCCGGCCGGCGACCCCCGCGCCCUGCCCAGCGGCCUUGCAGCUGCAGCCGGCGGCCGCGGCGGCGGCGGCGGCGGGGGCGGAGGCGGCGGCGGCGGCGGCGGGGCC